AUAAAGAGCUCUCGAAACGAAGUGAACAGUCGUUUUCGGAAGUAAACACCAAAGGUAUCAUCAUGAAGACUGCCUGCCUAGUUGCCCUCCUGAUUACUUGCGUUGUCAUGGUUACCUUGCCAGUAACUGAAGCCCAACGUCACCGUGACUGCCAUUGCAGUAGAGGACCGUGUCGUCACGGAACGAGAAACACCGGUCCGUGUCCACACAACCGUCGACAGAUGUAUUGCUGUAGAAAUUGAGGACCACCAAAGCACACCAGACCACAUUGAAAUUCAAAUGUUCUGGUUAGGUUGAAUCAAUAAAAUAGCGCAAUGUU